GGACGAACGCUGGCGGCGUGCUUAACACAUGCAAGUCGAACGGAAAGGCCCAGCUUGCUGGGUACUCGAGUGGCGAACGGGUGAGUAACACGUGGGUGAUCUGCCCUGAACUCUGGGAUAAGCCUGGGAAACUGGGUCUAAUACCGGAUAUGACUCUGGGAUGCAUGUUCUGGGGUGGAAAGCUUUUGCGGUUCAGGAUGGGCCCGCGGCCUAUCAGCUUGUUGGUGGGGUAAUGGCCUACCAAGGCGACGACGGGUAGCCGACCUGAGAGGGUGAUCGGCCACACUGGGACUGAGACACGGCCCAGACUCCUACGGGAGGCAGCAGUGGGGAAUAUUGCACAAUGGGCGCAAGCCUGAUGCAGCGACGCCGCGUGAGGGAUGACGGCCUUCGGGUUGUAAACCUCUUUCACCAGGGACGAAGCGUGAGUGACGGUACCUGGAGAAGAAGCACCGGCCAACUAC
rnacentral:rRNA from 1 species